GAAGUUGUUGUAUCUGUGUUAAAUUAUUGAGAACAUCUAUGAUGGCUUGACAUUGGUUCAUAGAUGAGAAACAAUUGAUGGAGGGAUGUGGUCCUAUUGGCA